rnacentral:rRNA from 1 species
CUAAGCGUACACGGUGGAUGCCCUGGCAGUCAGAGGCGAUGAAGGACGUGCUAAUCUGCGAUAAGCGCCGGUAAGGUGAUAUGAACCGUUAUAACCGGCGAUUUCCGAAUGGGGAAACCCAGUGUGAUUCGUCACACUAUCAUUAACUGAAUCCAUAGGUUAAUGAGGCGAACCGGGGGAACUGAAACAUCUAAGUACCCCGAGGAAAAGAAAUCAACCGAGAUUCCCCCAGUAGCGGCGAGCGAACGGGGAGGAGCCCAGAGCCUGAAUCAGCAUGUGUGUUAGUGGAAGCGUCUGGAAAGGCGCGCGAUACAGGGUGACAGCCCCGUACACAAAAGCGCAUGUGCUGUGAGCUCGAUGAGUAGGGCGGGACACGUGGUAUCCUGUCUGAAUAUGGGGGGACCAUCCUCCAAGGCUAAAUACUCCUGACUGACCGAUAGUGAACCAGUACCGUGAGGGAAAGGCGAAAAGAACCCCGGCGAGGGGAGUGAAAAAGAACCUGAAACCGUGUACGUACAA